UUCGGAUCUAGUGGCGGACGGGUUAGUAACGCGUGGGAACGUACCCUUCACUACGGAAUAGUCCCGGGAAACUGGGUUUAAUACCGUAUACGCCCUUCGGGGGAAAGAAUUUCGGUGAGGGAUCGGCCCGCGUUAGAUUAGUUAGUUGGUGGGGUAAUGGCCUACCAAGACUACGAUCUAUAGCUGGUUUGAGAGGAUGAUCAGCAACACUGGGACUGAGACACGGCCCAGACUCCUACGGGAGGCAGCAGUGGGGAAUCUUAGACAAUGGGGGCAACCCUGAUCUAGCGAUGCCGCGUGAGUGAUGAAGGCCUUAGGGUCGUAAAGCUCUUUCGCCUGUGAUGAUAAUGACAGUAGCAGGUAAAGAAACCCCGGCUAACUCCGUGCCAGCAGCCGCGGUAAUACGGAGGGGGUUAGCGUUGUUCGGAAUUACUGGGCGUAAAGCGCACGUAGGCGGAUUAGUCAGUCAGAGGUGAAAUCCCAGGGCUCAACCCUGGAACUGCCUUUGAUACUGCUAGUCUUGAGUUCGAGAGAGGUAAGUGGAAUUCCGAGUGUAGAGGUGAAAUUCGUAGAUAUUCGGAGGAACACCAGUGGCGAAGGCGGCUUACUGGCUCGAUACUGACGCUGAGGUGCGAAAGUGUGGGGAGCAAACAGGAUUAGAUACCCUGGUAGUCCACACCGUAUACGAUGAAUGCCAGUCGUCGGGUAGCAUGCUAUUCGGUGACACACCUAACGGAUUAAGCAUUCCGCCUGGGGAGUACGGUCGCAAGAUUAAAACUCAUAGGAAUUGACGAGGGCCCGCACAAGCGGUGGAGCAUGUGGUUUAUUUCGAAGCAACGCGCAGAACCUUA
rnacentral:rRNA from 1 species